rnacentral:rRNA from 1 species
UGGGGAAUUUUGGACAAUGGGCGCAAGCCUGAUCCAGCCAUGCCGCGUGCGGGAAGAAGGCCUUCGGGUUGUAAACCGCUUUUGUCAGGGAAGAAAUCUUCUGAGUUAAUACCUCGGGAGGAUGACGGUACCUGAAGAAUAAGCACCGGCUAACUACGUGCCAGCAGCCGCGGUAAUACGUAGGGUGCAAGCGUUAAUCGGAAUUACUGGGCGUAAAGCGUGCGCAGGCGGUUUUGUAAGACAGAGGUGAAAUCCCCGGGCUCAACCUGGGAACUGCCUUUGUGACUGCAAGGCUUGAGUGCGGCAGAGGGGGAUGGAAUUCCGCGUGUAGCAGUGAAAUGCGUAGAUAUGCGGAGGAACACCGAUGGCGAAGGCAAUCCCCUGGGCCUGCACUGACGCUCAUGCGCGAAAGCGUGGGGAGCAAAACAGGAUUAGAUACCCUGGGUAGUCCACGCCCUAAACGAUGUCAACUGGUUGUU